rnacentral:sRNA from 2 species
GAUGGGUGUUUAUUUAUAAGAUCGCGUCCGCAAGGGUUUUGCUGUCCGUUUCAUUUUUUUUAAAAUAAAUUUUAUGUUAUUUCAUUACCGCUCGCAAGUUGCGGAGGAUCACUAGAUCUUUGGGCCUUUAUCGCCACCUUUUGGCUUGCUAUUCUGUCUAUCUGUCAGUCGAAUCAUGAAGGAGUAUAUUCUUUUUGCUUCAAUUCACAGGAGGUCCGAAAUUUCACACUGAUGAUUUUUGAAAAGUACAAGAAUAAAUUUCCAAUUUUAGGUUUCAAUUUGGGGCUGUUUUCUGUCCUUCUGCUGAAGUUUUCCUUUUUUCAGUUGAUGCUCUCCGUUCCUGGUUUCUACUCCUUAUUUUUUAUUUCUCUACUGUCAUUGUCCAUGUUCUUGUUGUUGUGAAGGAGACCUUUUGGGAUUGAUCCUAUCAACUGUUUGUUACUACUAGCCCCUAAGAAUCGAUUAUGAGUCCUCGUACUACAUAUAUCACUGUUUCCACAUCUUAUCAUUAUUUAUAAAGCACGGUAACUGUGGACGCUUUUGCUGCUAGUUAUCUAAAUUAUUGGAAGAUACAGGGUGAAGGAUUCUAAAGCGCCGUUUCAUUGACUCGUUUUGUGGUAUUUCUAGUAAGAGUCGUGGGUCAAAUAAAUAACAAUUCGUGACAAAAGCAUGGGGAAUGGAAAGGAAUAAAGUAGGAAGGUAAACAAUAAAAGGUUAAGGAAAACUGGGGAAUGAGGAGAAAUUUGUCCAGACAACGCC